rnacentral:rRNA from 1 species
UACGAAGGGGGCUAGCGUUGUUCGGAAUUACUGGGCGUAAAGCGCACGUAGGCGGCUUUGUAAGUUAGAGGUGAAAGCCCGGAGCUCAACUCCGGAACUGCCUUUAAGACUGCAUCGCUUGAACGUCGGAGAGGUAAGUGGAAUUCCGAGUGUAGAGGUGAAAUUCGUAGAUAUUCGGAAGAACACCAGUGGCGAAGGCGACUUACUGGACGACUGUUGACGCUGAGGUGCGAAAGCGUGGGGAGCAAACAGG